CUGAUGGGUUGUUGCUGGUUCUCUAGGGAGCAUGUGCACACCUUGUCAUCUUUAUAUCUCCACCUGUGCACUUUUUGUAGACCUUUUCAGGUCUAUGUUGCCUCAUUUUACCCCAAUGUAUGUCAAUAGAAUGUUGUGCCUAUAUAUAAUAUAUACAACUUUCAGCAACGGAUCUCUUGGCUCUCGCAUCGAUGAAGAACGCAGCGAAAUGCGAUAAGUAAUGUGAAUUGCAGAAUUCAGUGAAUCAUCGAAUCUUUGAACGCACCUUGCGCUCCUUGGUAUUCCGAGGAGCAUGCCUGUUUGAGUGUCAUUAAUAUAAUCAACCUUCUCUUGUUUUGAGAAUGGUUUGGAUGUGGGGGGUUUGCUGGCCUCUCUCAAAAGGUUCAGCUCCCCUGAAAUGCAUUAGCAGAACAACCUUUGCUCAUUGGUGUGAUAACUAUCUACGCUUAUGAAUAUGAGGGGCAGUUCAGCUUUCUAACGGUCUUUGGACAAUUCAUCAUUAAUGUGACCUCAAAUCAGGUAGGACUACCCGCUGAACUUAAGCAUAUCAAUAAGGCGGAGGAA
rnacentral:rRNA from 1 species